rnacentral:antisense_RNA from 1 species
GUACAAAUUACUGUAUUAUUCAGGGUUGUAGCAGGAAACAGAUGGCACAACCAAAAGUAAUGAUCAAAGAGGGUGUAGGCAAGAAUAACAGAAAUCUAUGAGAGAUGGUGCAGCAGCUUAGGCUAAGCAAGAGCAAGAUCUUUCUACUCCUAAAAUGAAAAGGCAGGGAAAAGUGGUUCCUGAACCUGUGAGAUCUAUAUAAUGGAGAAGGCUACGUCAGAAGCUGUGAUGCUGAGGAACACAGUUAUUUCCAAGCCACUGCAGGGCAGGAAGGGAGUGUGAAGCUGAGAUUUAAAAACAGAAGGACCAGUAACCUGGGUCAGAACAUCUUCAGAUAAUAGAUCCAUCGGGUUUCCUAAGAGCUACUGCAACAAAAUGGUGCUCAUCUAUUUUGCUUUCCUGAAAGAUAAAAGCCUAAUGGGCCUAUCAGAGAGCCUGUUCCAAGGAGAGACAGACACACAGAGAGGACACAGAAAAGGUCAUUUGAAGGUGAAGGCAAAAAUUGGAGUGAUGCAACUGCAAGCCAAGGACUGCUAGGAACGAGCAGAAACCAGGAAGAAGCAAGGAAGGAUUCUUUCUUGGAACCUUCAGAGAGACCAUGGCCCUGCUGACACCUUGACUUCCAGCCUUCCAGAACUUAAAGAAGAGCUGUCACUUUAAGACACCAUGUUUGAGGUACUCUGUUAAGCAGCCUGAAGAAACUAAUAUACCCAUGGAUACAAUUUAAAUUAUACAUAAGCACACACAUUCGUGUACCCUUAGGAGCUUUAAUUUUAUGUCCCUGGAGUCAAAUGUUCAAAUGCUGGUCCAUCACUUCUUAGCUA